AUUGAACGCUGGCGGCAGGCCUAACACAUGCAAGUCGAACGGUAACAGGAAACAGCUUGCUGUUUCGCUGACGAGUGGCGGACGGGUGAGUAAUGUCCGGGAAACUGCCUGAUGGAGGGGGAUAACUACUGGAAACGGUAGCUAAUACCGCAUAACGUCGCAAGACCAAAGAGGGGGACCUUCGGGCCUCUUGCCAUCGGAUGUGCCCAGAUGGGAUUAGCUAGUAGGUGGGGUAACGGCUCACCUAGGCGACGAUCCCUAGCUGGUCUGAGAGGAUGACCAGCCACACUGGAACUGAGACACGGUCCAGACUCCUACGGGAGGCAGCAGUGGGGAAUAUUGCACAAUGGGCGCAAGCCUGAUGCAGCCAUGCCGCGUGUAUGAAGAAGGCCUUCGGGUUGUAAAGUACUUUCAGCGGGGAGGAAGGGAGUAAAGUUAAUACCUUGGCUCAUUGACGUUACCCGCAGAAGAAGCACCGGCUAACUCCGUG
rnacentral:rRNA from 1 species